GAGAUGCAGAUAAAUUAAUUAUACAGAAAAAUCACCUCUUCUCUUGUGUCUAUCAAAAUUUUACCACUUCAAUUCUUGAUUCAUUCUUUCCAUCGCCGCGCCCUCCAGCCCUCUCAUGCUUGCUCUCUAUCAUUGCUAUUGUUAUCGCCUAAAUGGACUUUGAGAAUUUCCCUCAAGUAGUCUAGCUGCUCAAAACCACCUUGCAUCCCACUCUUGAUAAGACAAUGAAACCACUUUCCAACCAGCAGCAGAAAUGUACCGCCGUUUUAACAUGGUAUGCCCUAAGGGUACUCCAGUGUUUCUUGAGAAAUGAGUUGGUCCAUCAAUCUCCAAAGCAAUCUUCUUAUCAAUUACAACAGCAUCCAAAGUGUAUCCAUCCACUACAAAUUCUCUCACCCAAUCAAGGCCAGUGCUGACCAAAAGACGACCGACUUCCUUCUGAAAUGAUGAAGUUAUAUUCUGAUUAAAUCUUUUGGUUUUCCCAGCACGACCAAUUUUCUCCUCUAGAUCACCUUGAAAAGCCAACUGAAGAUGCGGAUACUCAAGCUUCAGACAUUGAUUUACAAGAUGAGCCUGAGAAGCAAAC
rnacentral:misc_RNA from 1 species